GAGAAACUCUUCUCUAGGCACAGUUACAACACCUAAAUUUUAGGCACAACCAAUAAAGUCUUGACAGCUCAUAAAAGAACAGAUGAAAAGGAAACACGUGAUAUCGCUCUCUUUUCUGAAAGAAAAACAAAAACAAAACUUCUUUCUCUCUUUCAGCAAGUUCUCGUAGGAUAUGAAAUUUCUUCUCAAAUUUUUCCUUGCCUUUCCACUCUGCCGCCGUGUUCACACCUCUGCCUAAGAAGAUAUCAGAGAAGAACUCAAUAUUUUAACCAUGUAUUUUGUAGAGGUUGGGGGGAUGAUUUUGGGUUUUAGGGUUCCAAUUAUUUUCAAUUAGUUAAGAAUCAAAUUGGAUCUUAGGAUUUCUUACGGGCUCUAUGGUGAAACUUUUCAUCCCAAUUCUGUUUGAUUUUUUAUUGGUGGAGGAAUAUGAGUUUGGAAAAAUCGAGAAAUCACUUAUUGGCGGAAAAUCGAGAAAUCCAGAAAUCGGUGAACCUUUUCUCAAAUGUUGGCUUCCAUUGACACUUCCAUUUUUAGUUUAUUCCUUGACAAUUUGUGUGUAUUGUUAUUAUUAGGUACAUUUAAUGUAAUUGAAAGAUUUUGUUUCUAUUGUAUGAGUUUUAUCCAUCAAUGACAAUGAAAUCAUUUUAUUUUUAUCA
rnacentral:lncRNA from 1 species